GGAAAUAUAGCUCAGUGGUAGAGCAUUCGGCUGAUAACCGAAAGGUCGGUGGUUCAAGUCCAUCUAUUUCCA
rnacentral:tRNA from 1 species